rnacentral:ncRNA from 1 species
UUCUUUUUGGUGUAUAGAGAUGAUAGCUACCCGAAACCGACACAGGUGGGUAGGUAGAGAAUACCUAGGGGCGCGAGACAACUCUCUCUAACGAACUCGGCAAAAUAGCCUCGUAACUUUGGGAGAAGGGGUGCCUCCUCACAAAGGGGGUCGCAAUAUCCAAGCUCGGACGACUGUUUACCAAAAACACAGGUCUCCGUAAAGUCGUAAGACCAUGUAUGGGGGCUAACCCUUGCCCAGUGCCAGAUGGUCAAGGAAGUUGGUGACUUGAUGACUGGAGAGCCGACGACCGAAGCCCUAGUGAAUGGCGACCGUAACUAUAACGAUCCUAAAGUAGCGAAAUUCCUUUUCGGGUAAGUUUCGACCUGCACGAAAGGCGUAACGAUCUGGGCAUUGUCUCGGAGAGAGGCUUGGUGAAAUAGACAUGUUUGUGAAGAUGCAAACUACUCGCACCUGGACAAAAAGACCCUAUGAAGCUGCACUAUUCCCUGGGAUUGGCUUUGGGCUUUUCCUACUCAGCUUAGGUAGAAAGCGAAGAAAGCCUCCUUCCGGAGGGGCCCGAGCCAUCAGUGAGAUACCACUCUGGAAGAGCUAGAAUUCUAACCUUGUGUCGGGACCUAUGGGCCAAGGGACAGUCUUAGGUAGACAGUUUCUAUGGGGCGUAGGCCUCCCAAAAGGUAAUAGAGGUGUGUAAAGGUUUCCUCGGGUCGGACGAAGAUUGGCCAUCGAUUGCAAAAGUAGAAAGGAGCUUGACUGCAAGACCCACCCGUCGAGCAGGGACGAAAGUCGGCCUUAGUGAUCCGAUGGUGCUGAGUGGAAAGGUCGUUGCUCAACGGAUAAAAGUUACUCUAAGGAUAACAGGUUGAUCUUUCCGAAGAGUUCACAUUGACGGGAAGGUUUGACACCUCGAUGUCGGCUCUUUGCCACUUGGGGUUGUAGUAUGUUCCAAGGGUUGGGUUGUUUGCCCAUUAAAGCGAUACAUGAGCUGGGUUCAGAAUGUCGUGAGACAUUUCGGUCCAUGUCCGGUGUAGGCAUUAGAGCAUUGAGAGGACCUUUCCCUAGUACGAGAGGACCGGAAAGGAUGCACCUCUGGUGUACUAGUUAUCGAAUCCACGGUAAACGCUGGGUAGCCAAGUGCAGAGCGGAUAACUGCUGAAAGCAUCUAAGUAGUAAGCCCACUCCAAGAUGAGUGCUCUCCUAUUCUAACUUCCCCAAAGCCUCCGGUAGCACAGCCGAGACGGCAAUGGGUU